UUUUCAAUUUAACAUGUAACAAAUUUAUUUCUUUCCUAGGUACACAUAUUCAAUAAAUAUCACAGCUCAAUAUAUAACAAUAUAGACAUUUACAAAUCAUGUAACAAAAAAAAACAUCAUGCAGCUAUAAACAUUUUUAAAAUUAAAAAAAUAAUAAUUUUUUUUCUAUUUUUUUUUCUUUAUAACAAAAGUUGAUUACCGUAAACAUUUUUUUCAUAGUUAUCAAAAUAUUUGUUCAAAAAUCAGGCAUUUGCAAUACUAAUUUCAGUUAACAUUUAUACCCUGUACAGUCUAUCCAACUCAAAGUAAGAGUUUGGUAUGUGUUUAUACAUGUAUGAGUAACAAACUAUUCCAUGGAUAAUGAAUCAAUUGUUCAUUUAAUAAUAAGAUUUACAGUACCUGUCCAUGUAUACACUUCUAAUAAAGUUGUUUCAAUCAGAGUAAACAAGAUUCUGAAAACACAGCUUUAAUUUAUUUUAAGAAAGCUUCCUUGUCAAGGAAAAUCUCAAAACAGCUUUUUCUAAUAAUUUUUGAAAAAUACAGAAAAAAACAAAUGAAAGUUGAAAAUAAAACAAAACUGAAUAAUGGGCAUUUGAUGAAUUGACAAAGUCAUUGAAGCAUAACUCUUCAUAACCAGAUGCUCCGCAGGGCACAGCUUCAUACGACCGUAGAGGUCGAACCCUGAACGGUUGGGGCUAGUACGGACACAACAUUCAAGCUGGAUUCAGCUCUAAAUUUGGAUUGUGAUUAAAAGUAGUUGACACAUCAUGGUUUCUGACACAGAAUGAAUGUGGUCUAAUGAACUUAAAUUUUGUAUUGCUUUUGAGCAAUUCACUAUGCUGUUGAAUAUUAAUCCUCUAAAAAAAAAAUAUUUGAAGAAAUUUUCUUUUUAAUUUCUGAAAUCUGAAAUGAGAAAAAUUGACCUCCCCCCCCCCCAAUUUUUUUUUCACCUCCCCCUUUCCCUUAUUCGUAAAAAUAUUCUUAAUUCAAAUUCUAAUGGAGUUUGCAACAAUAACUCCUCAUUUAAAUACAUCAUAAAAAUAUUAAAAUAUAAAAUGUCAUACAGUCUAUGGUCAGGUUGUUGUCUCUUUGGCACAUUCCCCAUUUCCAUUCUCAAUUUUAUGGUUCAAAUUAAUAUUAAUUAAUAGAAACUUCUAAAAAAAUAAAUGGGGAAUGUGUCAAAAGGGACACAGAUGAUGCCCCCACUAGCGUAUAACGAUAUAAAGGGACAUAACUAAAGAACUGUAAAAGUGAAGCUGCCAAAAAUUGAACUUUAACUGAUUUUAGAGGUAAUAAGCAUUAUAUACACAUUUCAUUAAAUUUAGUUGAGACAAACUUAAGCUGAGGACAGAAACUAAAAUAUUCUUCAAUUUUUCCAUUUGUAAAGGGACAUAACCCUAGAAUGGUAAUCAAAGUGCUUGUAAUUACUGAAUGGUAAAGACUGCUUUAAUUUAUCAGUUGUUAGUAAAGUGAAUAUUGCAUUGUACAUUGUAUAUGCAGCAUUGAUUUAAGUUGAUUCAACUACUAUACUGGACAAAGAAAGAUAACUCCAAUUCAUUGUCUUGAAACUAAAAAAUGCUUGUUUUUGACCCCUUUUUGGUCCUUUAUUUCUAGACUGUUUGCCCCAUAACCCACAAAAUAUAUAUCCCAAUCUUCUACUUAUGGUAUUUAACAUUGUGGUACAAUUUCAGAACAACUGAAAUACUUAUACACAACUUUUUGUACUGACACUAGAUAAAUGCUUUUUUUGGGACCCUUUGCGUCCUUAAUUCCUAAACCUUAGGGACCAUAACCCCCAAAUUCAAUCCCAAGCUUCCUUUUGUGGUAAUAAACAUUGUGUUAAAAUUUUUAUUGAUUUCUGUUUACUUAUACUAAAGUUAUCCAGAAACCAUCCGUCUUUGGACGAGGCUGACGACCACGACAUGAUACCAAUAUACGACCGCAAAAAUUUCAGCGGUUGUUUAAAAAUUAGUCCUCUCUGUUUAUGCUGGAUGCGUCUAACAUGUAAAUGUUAUGUGAAUUGAAACUUGAACAAAAACAAUUAUAUACAUAUGAAAACUAUCAAUUAUUUCAAAAAUAAAAAAUUUACAAAGUACACAAAAAUUAAUAAAAUUGAUAUCUGUUAUAUUUCAUGAACAUGUGCACCAUAAAUAGCAUUUUCAGAAGAUAAUGUAUAGUAUUAUUAUUGUAUACACCAUAGACAUGACAUUUAACAAAUAAUAUAUUGGAAAUAUAAUUCUGAAAAACAGCUAUAAAAACUAAAUAAUACUGUCGCAAGAGUAAUGCAAUGUUGACAUUUUACUCCAGACUUUCAUUUCAACAAUAAUAUUAUUUUUUGCAAUUUACAAUAACUCUCGCAUCAUUUAAUAAUAUAAAUAUAUUUUUUCCUAUUUUCAAAAACUAAAAGGCAGAUAUGAUGUGCAAAUCAUAUUUGCAUGAUAUACAUGAUAUAUAUGAUGUGUGCAAAUCAUAUUUGCAUAUACAGUUUGUCACCAUAAACACAUCUCUAGAUAUGACACAAUUACAUGUACAAUGUAAUUGUGAUACCUGUAAGGCCAUUCAUAUUUUCAGGUACACAAUGGAAUUGUAAAAACUUUAAUCUAUAAUUUCAAUAACGCUUAAUUCAAAAAACAUGAAUACUAUGGGAUAUUUGUAAAUUUUCAUACUUCCCAAAAAAUGGCUUACUAAUUUCAUGUCUUUGAGAGAAAAAUCAUCAAAAUGAUGGACAAAAACAAUUUAUAUCACUGACUUUAUUUGAGGGUGGCAAAAAUCAACUUUUGAGAAAGGAGUAGAGGACUAGUGGUGACAAGUUAUUUCUCAAGUGGCAAGCAUGUAUGGUGUCAUCCUGGUUUGCCCACUUUUAAUUACAUGUAAUACAUGUAAACAUAGAGGGAAUUGUUGUUUUAACAAUUAUAGUUUAUUUCUGAAUUAUAGUCAUAUUUUUUACCUUUUAUUUUACCUGUAAAAUUAAAAAAGAAUAUUUUAUUCUGCUAUUAAAUCAAGGAAAAUGUGCAAAAAUUUUCUAUAUUUUAUAUGUACAUGUAUUUGGCAGGAUAAUGUAUUUUAUUAAAAAAAA
rnacentral:lncRNA from 1 species